AAGAACGACACGUCAUUGGAAUACUUAGAGCCAAUAGAAUCGAUUGGUACCAAGAAAGACAAGAUUGACAGCACUGUGAGCCAAUAGGAGACAGAAAGGCGUCGCCAUAUUUGAGAUGUGAAAUCCGAUUAGCUGAAAUUGAACUUCCUGACAGCUGACUAUGACGCUUCCCCAAAAGUCCGCCUGGUUUUUAAAGGGACCUACACACACACUAAAGCCAUGCCAGCUGGAAUGCAGGGGAGAGAAACGUUUUUUCUUCUUCUCAAGAACAAAAGUGUCCUCAGCAGGAUGAACAUUCCCCCCUGAAGGUCCCCUCAGUAUGACAUCAUCAGGCCGCGCCCCUCCCGUCUGGUCCUGGGUCCGGUGGGCUCUCUGUCAGAGCGCCGUCUGGCUGUGGGCGGGCCAGGUGUCCCCGACGAGAAGAACCAAUGAAGGAGCGGCAGAGGCGGGAGCUGGCAACAAGAACCAAUGAGAAGACACCGCCCCCUUAUCUCCUGACGAAUCAGAACUGUUCCUUUCGGCUAUUUAAAAUGGCCGCACACUCUAAGUCGUGGUCUUUUUCUCCAGGGCGGAGGCUACUGGUCAGAGCUCUGGAGAAGGGUCCAUAUGCAUGAUCGUCCACUUGUAUCCUGAUUUCUGAAUAAAACGCUAAUAGAUAUAA